rnacentral:rRNA from 1 species
UACAGAGGUCUCAAGCGUUGUUCGGAUUCAUUGGGCGUAAAGGGUGCGUAGGCGGCGCGGUAAGUCGGGUGUGAAAUCUCGGAGCUUAACUCCGGAAACUGCUCUCGAUACUGCCGUGCUUGAGGACUGGAGAGGAGACUGGAAUUUACGGUGUAGCGGUGAAAUGCGUAGAUAUCGUAAGGAAGACCAGUGGCGAAGGCGGGUCUCUGGACAGUUCCUGACGCUGAGGCACGAAGGUCAGGGGAGCAAACGGG